UAAAGAUGACGUAAUGUUGAACCAAACAAGAAAAUGGAGACCCAAAGUACACAAAUUGACCAUAGGCAUUGGUUGGUUUGGUAUGUAUCUAGCCAAGAGAAGAAGUAGGAACUAUAAGGCAAAGAUCCCAUGGCCAACACACCCAUACGCAAUCACCUAUCAUUUGGCUUCAUCUGCCUCGUAAAAUCAGUCUCCUGGCUGCUUGAAGGCAGAGUUGCUUACAGUAAAGACAUCAGAGAGGUCUUUGGAAACAGUGGCAAUGAGGUUCUUCUGCCUUCCUUGAGCUCCUUAGGUGGUAAGGAGAUGAUGCUGUCAGAGGGAAAUCUUCACCUUCACCUUUUCUAUUGAUCACUGGUUGAUGUCUAAUUCUGCUGGUUCAUGAAUGUUCAUGGAAAGAACGUGGCUCAGAUGGAUGUGCCAGAGGAAAUGCACCAGGAAAUCCCGAGCAGGGUGCAAUCAGUCACCAUUAAUGCUCACAAGUAUCAAAGCUACUUGAAGAAAUACAGCUACUUAUGGAUGGAUGAUAAAAUUGAAUUCACGAAGCAGUUCCUUCUCCAUGAGUGAUUUCUUAGUGCUGAAAAACUAGAAUUGCAUGUGGACUAUGAGUGUCAGAACUCCACACUGCAGUUAGCACACUUUACAGAACACGUAUUGAAUUUUAGCUGAGUCUAGCAUCAUCUUUUUCAACUCCCAGGACAGCUGUUAAAUCAUAAAAUAUUUUGAGAUAUAAAGCUCUUGCCUCUGAGAGAUCUUUCCUUUUUUUCCCCUUUUCCUUUAAGAUCAACAUCUAUGAAAUAUUAUGUGAAGGAAUUGAUAACUUUAAAAAUCAGAAGAUAUUUAGUGGCUAGCUUCAACUUGAUACUUUUAAAAAUCCAUGAUGAAUGUUACAAAAAAUGAGAUUUGAUGUUUAAGGAGCAUCUGCUUAACCAUUGUAACCUGUAGGUAGAGUAAUUUGAAUCUGAUUGUGAAAGGAAAUUAAAAUAACACAAAUCAUUUGAUGAAACUAUCCUCAUAGAAUUCUAAUUUAACUCAAAUAAUAAGUAUUUUAAUGGUUCUCCUAUGUGCUUAUUUUUAAUGUCGUAUUCUGUAAGUUACAAGAGAGUUGCUUUCAUGCAUGUGAAAUGCAAUUCUCUUCUUGCAAAAACUUGACACAAUGCUUAUCCAUUUGAUUUGAUUGCAUUUACGUGUUCAUUAAUAUAAUUGAAACAUGUAGCUUCCCCCAAGUUUUCACAGGCUCAUCCCUAAUUAACUGUUGGCAUUUUCUCAUAUUAUAUGUUAGUAUAACUGAGUUAGGGCAAUUUAUUGAUGAAAUAGGGAAAGAUUGAGCAGAGGACGUGAAGUGGGAAUUCAGCCCAUUGAGUACUGAUUGGGGGACUGUGGGCAGCUGGACCAUGCCAGGCAAUAGCCCUAAAAUCUCUGCUAUUUUAACUGCUUUACUAAAGCAUCCAGAAGAGAUUUAUAUGGGCAUAAGUGAUAGGGACUCAAGAGAGAGAGGUUAUCUCCAGGAGAUAGUAUUACUUUCCCCCAACUGGGCCCUGAACCACAAGUCAAAGGAGACUCAUGGUCUUCUAAGUAUGUUCUGUGUAUUUACAGGGUAUUUAAAAAAGUUUUAAAGAUUUAAUAGAACAGUCUGUGAACUUGGAAGGAGAAAAGAGAGCUUCUAAUCCUUGCUCAGCACUUUUGAGCACUGUGAUCUUGCUUGAGUGAGUUAGCCUGAGCGCAUUUCUUCACAGUGCCCUUGUGGGGUCUAAAUGCAAUACUUAUACAGGCUGCCUUGAUGUAGCCAACCAGUAUAUGUUUAUUGAAAUAUGAGGCUUUUAACCUUUUUUCUUUUCUUUUCUUUUUUUUUGUUUUUGAGAAGGAGUCUCGCUCUGUCGCCCAGGCUGGAGUGCAGAGGCGUGAUCUCGGCUCACUGCAAGCUCUGCCUCCUGUGUUCACGCCAUUCUCCUGCCUCAGCCUCCCGAGUAGCUGGGACUACAGGCGCCUGCCACCACGCCCGGCUAAUUUUUUGUAUUUUUAGUAGAGAUGGGGUUUCACUGUGUUAGCCAGGAUGGUCUUGAUCUCCUGACCUCAUGAUCCACCUGCCUCAGCCUCCCAAAGUGCUGGGAUUACAGGCAUGAGCCACCACGCCCGGCCCUUAACCUUUUUUUAAAUCAAGGAUAGGAAAUGAAAUCCACAAAGGAGGUGGUCAAUAAAAUAAGCAAAGGAGAUUUAAAUGGAGAUAACUUUUCAAAUUAAGAGUUUAAAGUCUUAUUUUUUUGUCCUUUACAGAUUAAUGUGAGGAUAUCUGACUAAAAGAAUUAAGAAACCCCUACCUUUAUUAUUUAUUUAUUUUUUGAGAUGGAGACUUGCUCUGACACCCAAGCUGGAGUGCAGUGGUGUGAUCUCGGCUUACUGCAGUCUACACUUCCCGAGUUCAAGCGAUUCUCCUGCCUCAGCCUCUUGAGUAGCUGGGAUUACAGGUGCCCGCCACCACGCCUGGCCAAUUUUUUUGUUGUUGUAUUUUUAGUAGAGACGGGGUUUCACCAUGUUGGCCAGGGUGGUCUCGAACUCCUGACCGCAAGUGAUCUGCCCACCUUGGCCUCCCAAAGUGCUGAGAUUACAGGUGUGAACCACUGUGCCCGGCCCCUAC
rnacentral:lncRNA from 10 species